rnacentral:rRNA from 1 species
UCGGAAUCACUAGGCGUAAAGCGCAGGUAGGAGGUUUAGUAAGUCUGUUGUGAAAGCUCCCGGCUUAACUGGGAGAGGUCAACGGAAACUGCUAGGCUAGAGUGUGGUAGAGGUAGCUGGAAUUCCCGGUGUAGCGGUGAAAUGCGUAGAUAUCGGGAGGAAUACCUAUGGCGAAAGCAGGCUACUGGACCAUCACUGACUCUGAUCUGCGAAAGCUAGGGGAGCAAACAGG